AUCUUUGCGCUUGGGGCAAUGACGCAGAUAGUGAGGUGAAACCGAGACGCGUCAAUUGCUGAUUGAAAACUAUUUCCAAACUAUUUCCAUUUACACAAGGAUUUCUUUAAUUACUCUGCUAAAGUU
rnacentral:snRNA from 1 species